rnacentral:tRNA from 1 species
CCCUGGUUAGCUCAGUUGGUGGAGCGCUCCUCCUGUAAUGGAGAAAUCCUGAGUUCGAUACCCGGACCAGGCG